AGCUCAAUGUCAAUUUCGCGUGGGUGUCUGCGUGGGAUCACGCGCAUACCACGCGUGGGGUUUGUUAAAAAGCUGAAAUCAACGUCUACGGUCGCGGUAUACCCAAGACUUGACAUCAAAGAGCCACACUGUACUUAUUAAAUAGUUAUUGUUCAGUGGUUCAAAACGCCUAUCGCUAGACAAGGAUAGGCCAGCGCGCGUGGAAGGGGGAUUCCCUUGCAAGAUCGUGUCACUGUGCGUGAGCUAAAGAACACCCGUGUUAAAAAGAACGCGCUUGUCUUAAACUAAAUAUGUCUAACAACGUAGAUAGGAAAGCCAUUUUGGAAAAAUAUUAAACAAAUUUACUUGAUAAAUAUGAUCUCACUAAUUAGUUUUCCUCUCGCACGUAAUUGUGACGUCAAAUUCGAUUGAUGAUCUUAUUGCAACUUACACCAAGAGAAGUCUUACCCAACGAAAAAUGACAAUUUGGCUUUUGAAAACUAAAGUUACUCUUGGAAGUGCGCUUCGAAAUGCAUUUCAGGACAAAGGGUGUCAAUUUUAAAGGGAUCAGCUUUUCUGAUCAAAAUGGACGUUGCCCUUCCCAGGUUGCGCCGGAAUCUGCUCAUCAUAGGAAAACAGAUUCGGAAACUUCCCUCAAGGAUUCGACGAGCAGUUAGACGAGGUCUGGAACGGGUUCUCGUCCACCUUAGA